rnacentral:lncRNA from 1 species
UCCUUUACACCAGGGUUCUGAAUGCUGUAGAAAUUGAGGAGCUGUUUUGGUUAACUAUUACUGUACAAAACCACCCUAGGACAUAGGAACUUAGAACAAAGAAGUUUAUUUCUCACAAUUCCGUGGACUGCCCAGGUGUUGGAUAUGCCUCACUGGUGUUGCCUGGGGUAUUGGGAUGGUUGCAAGGUCCGCAAUGGCUUUGCUCCCAGGACUGCAAGUUGGUGCUGUCAACCAGGAGCUCAGCUGGGGCUGUCGGCCGGAGACCUGAAUUCUCGUCCACUGGGGUCUUUCACGUGGCUAAUUGGACUUCUCACCCUGAGGCAGCUGGGCUCCAAGAAGGGAUGUUCCAACAGGUGAAUGAAGAUAGAAGCAGCUGUUCUCUCACAUAGAGUACUUCUGCUGUGUUCCGUUGCUUAAAGCCAGUCGCACGCCUAGCCCAGAUUCAAGGGGAGGGGAAAGAGACUACCUCUUGCUGGAGAAACGGCAAGGGAAUAUUGCAUAAGAGCACGUGGGAUGGGAGAUACAACUGUGACAUCGCCGGCAGGGUAGAAGAGGACAGCCAGUAAGAAGAGGCUAUGUGCACAGCCCACUUUGAAGUGCUUAGACCUGGAUGCGAACGGUCAGACUCGGUGGACCCUGGGGAAGGAUCGCCUGAUCCUGAGGAAAGUAGUCAUUGUAGUGUCCUUCAAAUAAGUUGCCAAGCUCUGGGCCAUGGGACCCUGGCCACAAGUGAUGGACUCAGGAGCCCACGGUGGAGAAGCAGGACCCAGGGGAGGCCUAGCAUGAAACUCUGUGCAAUAGGACGGCUUCUUAGUCGCAGACAGUCAAGACGAGUCAAGAAAUUUCUGCUCACUGGAAAUUUUGAGGAUUUUCCUUCCCUCAACAGUUCGCCAUCUGCCCUCCCACCCCUACAAACAUACAUUUUAAGCAAAUGCAGAAAUAGAGGACUACGGAUCCAUCAAGAGAGUCUUCUGGAAGCCUCGGGAACUGGAUGAAGAAGGAGAUUAGGAAGUGAGGAGGGAGAGUGGGGAAAGUGUGCAGAGAUUACAAACUCCCUUAUAUAAUUAAUGGAGGUGGGAGCUUCCUUAAUGGGAAAAAUCCUGUCAGUCCUUGAGAGGUGGGUUUUGAACCUCCAUUUCUGUGGUGGAUGUGAUUUUCCAUACAAGCUAAUACUCAGAGAUUCCCUGCCAAAUGUUAAUUUCCUUCCUCCACAUUGGAGCUCUAGUGUCCUGGCUUGUUGCAAAGCAUCUUCAAUAUGUGUUUAAUAUUGCGCGGGCAAUCGAAGAAUGUGGAGAUUUGUAACAAAUCUAAAACAGAUUAAAAUCAAGGGUUUGGUGUAAAUAAAGAGCUUUGCGGUUGUCA